UACCAGACUCCUACGGGAGGCAGCAGUGGGGAAUAUUGUACAAUGGGGGAAACCCUGAUGCAGCGACGCCGCGUGAGUGAAGAAGUAUUUCGGUACGUAAAGCUCUAUCAGCAGGGAAGAAAAUGACGGUACCUGAUUAAGAAGCCCCGGCUAACUACGUGCCAGCAGCCGCGGUAAUACGUAGGGGGCAAGCGUUAUCCGGAUUUACUGGGUGUAAAGGGGGCGCAGACGGCGAUGCAAGCCAGGAGUGAGAGCCCGGGGCCCAACCCCGGGACUGCUCUGGAAACUGUACGGCUGGAGUGCAGGAGAGGUAAGUGGAAUUCCUAGUGUAGCGGUGAAAUGCGUAGAUAUUAGGAGGAACACCAGUGGCGAAGGCGGCUUACUGGACUGUAACUGACGUUGAGGCUCGAAAGCGUGGGGAGCAAACAGGAUUAGAUACCCGAGUAUUU
rnacentral:rRNA from 1 species